GAAAGGCAUCUGGAAGCCUCUCUCUCUUUUAAACUGUACUCCAACGAAUUUCUCUUGACUCUUCAGUAUGCAUCAGGCAAUUUUCUGGGUAUGGCAGUGUAAAACUGAGAAAGGACUCUUCUCCCUGGCCUAGGUAUCGCCCAUCUGACUUUGAUUUUUUUUUCUCCACUCCUUCCAUGCUAGUCUGGUUCACUCCUAAUUCCUGAGCUAUAUCUGAAGAGGACAAGAACUCAUUUGGGACCCUCACCUCCACCAUCUGAUGGGGACUGGAAUUCAUCUGUUGCCCAGGGAUGCUCCAUGGAUAUUGAUAAGAACUCGGAGGCUCAAAGAGGUUAAGUGUCUCACUUGAAGUUGUCCAUCAAAGAAGAAACUGAGCCUGGAACCUUGGAAGGACAGUGAGGAGAAUUCAACUGUCCAGAUAGAAAGGUGGACAUGGAAAAAUUGGGCUUUGCAAAUGGUCACCCAAUUCUUGCCUUCCUGGUCUCCAGAUCACCCUUCCUAUACCGCCACUCUGGAGAAAGAAGUACAGAACGCUAACAAGCUAGAUACAGAGGACCUAACAUACAACUCAGAGUCCCUAGAAGAUGGAGAAAACACAGACAAUUGGCAGAGGAGAUGAGCAUGUGAUUAUUGUUACCACUUGUCUGGAAGCAACCAGAAUGGAGUGGGGAAGACUCAAGGAGGAGAUCUUCACAGGACUCACCUCUCAUCACAGCUCCCGUGUGGUUGUAAUCACCCCAGAGGGAAAAAUAAUUUCGGUUUUUUAUGGUUUAAUUAUUGGUGAUAGCAGCUGUUUUGAAGACACAAACACAGAAGCAAGUUCUAGAACAUACUCACAGUUUCCUUGGUCACAGUGUUGUCAGUGGUUCUAUAAAGGUCUUAUGAAUCUCUACUUAGUUGACCACAAGUAGUAAGCAAGAAACAAUCCUGUAAAGAGAAUGGAGGUCAGAAUAAAGAAGCCUUGAGGGUUUAAAUCGCUUCUUGAAAAGGUAAUAAUAUUUACUCUUUUAAAAAUUAUAAACAAUACAUGUUCCUUUUACAGAAAAAAAAGAAAAAAAUAAGGAAACAGGACAUAAAACUCAUCUGUUAUUCCACCAUCUAGAUACAACUACUGUUAACCCAGGAACACUUAAAGAGUGUUUCAUGAAUAUUUAUGUAUACAUGCAAAUAUAUUUUCUAUCGGUCUUAGUUUACAAAACAGGGAUCCUAUUGUCCUUGCUGUUUUGUGACCUUUUCUUUCAUUGAAUAAGAUAUUAAUGAAUAUCCUUUGCCAGUAAAUAAACUUCAACUCUGUGGUGGACACAUUCUAAGAUGAUUCCCUUUGAUCCCCACCCCCUUGUGUUCUCACCAUUGUAUAACUGUGUGAUCACUCCAUUUGAGUGUGGGCUGAACUUCUGACUUACAUCCAACCAAUUGAAUAUCACAGUGUUGGGAUAUCAUUUCCAAGAUUAGGUUACAAGAAGACUCUAUCUUCUUGCUCAUGCUCUCUUAUUCUCUGGCUUGCUUUCUGCCAUGGAGCCAACUGCCAUGUCAUCAACUGUCUGCCCUACAGAAAUGCCCGUGUGUCAAGGAGCUAAGGGAGACCAGCCCAGGAGGAGCUGAAUCCUGCCAACAAUCACUUGAGUGAACUUGAGAGUGAAUCCUCUCCAUGUUAAGCCUUGAGGUGAUUGUAGCUCCAUCAAAUACCUUCAUUGUAGCCUUGUGAGAGAUCUGAGUCAGAGGAUGGAGUUAAGCCAAGCCCAGAUUCCAGACCCUCAGAAACUGUGAGAUAAUAAAUUUGUUGUUCUAAGCUACUAAGUUUUGGUGUAAAACAGCCAUAGAUAACUGAUACAAAUCACAUAAUUUUUAAUAGCUGCUUCAUAUGUUAAUAUGUCUGUACCAUAAUUUACUCAAUCUUUUGUUGCUGCACAUUUUGGUUAUUUUGUUUUGCUAUUAUAAACAGGGCUGCAAUGAAUAUUAUUGUACUUAAACAUUGGUACACGUUCUUCUUUCCUAAGGAUAAAUUCCUUGAAGUAAAAUAGCUGGCUUUCAAUGGGUAUGCAUUUUUUUAAAGCUUUUGGUAUGUUAUUCCCCAAUCACUUUCUGUUAGGAUUGUAUUCAUUUACAGUCCUGCUGGCUGUAGUUCAGGUUAAUUUCAACUACUUUAUCUUGAGUUGUCUCCAUGAAAACCAGUUAGAAACCGAAACCAAAGCCCCAAACAAGAAAAGCCCCAAACAAGAACCCAGGAAAGAAAACUAAGGUUGAAUCUUGAAAACUAUGAGAUAAAUUUGAAGCUAAACAAUUUUCAAAGUACCAUUGUUUUGAAAUAAGUCUGAUAAAUUCAACCACCCUCAAAUUGUUAUUCUUAUCUUUCAAUGGACACAGAAGUCCUGAAAAUGUGGUGAUACUCAUAGUCUUCACGAACUUUGAAAGGGAAAACAACAAUUUCUCUGGUUGAAGUCAACAUAACAAUAGGCUAGUUUGAAAAUCCUGUUUUUUUUCAGUUGCACAAAGGAUUGUCAAUAAAUUCAACUUUUUAAAUUACU
rnacentral:lncRNA from 10 species